GGCAAGGGGAAAGACGCUCUUUGCAGGCAGUGUCAUGGCUGUCCCACCAGUCGCAGACUUUCUGCUGAGGCACGAAGCCCGGUAAUUGUGCCAUGGAAAGCGCUGAAUUGAAGGCUCUAGAGCCGCCCUUUAUACAGACUGUUGAACUGCAUUUGUGGGUUAAAAUUCGCAAAGGAACCCCUUGCUUAACACAGACAUCUCGAAUGUUGGGGUUUGGAUGAUGAUGAUGAUAACGGCAAUACAAUAAUGAGUUUGAAUGCUUUCUUUGUGCCAGACACCUGCCAAGCACUUUUCGUGAAUUAUUUAAUUCAGCAACUUUGUGAUCAUGAACAAUUUUUUCUUUUAUUAUCGCUGAGUUUGAAGACGGCAGAAUCUGAGAGAUUAAAAUGCUUUCUGAGGACAUGCUCUUUCCUAUUGUUCCAUGUAAGCCCUCAGGGGCUCUGCAGGUCUAACUCAUUCGUUGUACCAAAGUGGAAACUGACUCUCAGAAAAGAGAAUUAGUUGCUCCCAUCUCCCAGCAAAGCCAAGGCACGUCUUCCCCCAAGCCUGUAGACUGAGUCUUCCAGCUAGUAUGGGAAAGUUAAUGGUGCCUGCAAGUUGGAUAAGAUCAACUUCAUCACUGGACCCCCAACCUCUCACCCAAGUCUUUGUCUUCACGUCUGACUGAUUGAUCGAGGAUCCACUGGUGACACUUGAGUCCUGAUUCAGUGCUCUGAUUAUCGUUUGUUGAAGCAGUUAUCUUUGGAGGCCCCAGCAAGAUCCAGUUUGCACUGCCCAAAGUCGCAGACCCCAGCUUUCAACUUGGCGCAGCCCCCACAGAGGCCCCUUAUGCCUUGCUGCCUGCAAACUGGGGUUCAUGCUGUUGUGGUUCGGCAACUUCUUGAAGAUUCCAGUGGCCUCGAGAAUGGAUAUAUCAUUGUCGUUCAGUCGCCUGCACAGGAAGCAAGAAGAACGAGGUGGUGGUGGAUUAGCAGUGGG